GCUAGGCAUGAUGGCACAUGCCUGUAGUCCCAGCUAUUCAGGAGGCUGAGGUGGAAGGAUCGCUUGAGCCCAGGAGUUCUGGGCUGUACUGUGCUAUGCCAGUUGGGUAUUCACAGUAACUUGGGCUUCAAUAUGGUGACCUCCAGGAGCGGGGGACCACCAGGUUACCUAAAGAGGGGUGAACCAGCCCAGGUCAGAAACAGAGCAGGUCAAAACUCCUGUGCUGAUCGGUAGUGGGAUCGCACCCGUGAAUAGCCACUGCCCUCCAACCUGGCCAACAUUGCAUGACACAGUACCUA
ensembl:misc_RNA Metazoa_SRP Metazoan signal recognition particle RNA